UUUGGAGAUAUCGCACUAUCGCAGCGAAACGGCAAAACACAAUGUUAUCGAUUUACGACCAUGUGUCCAUCAACGGGCAGCACUUCUGCAAGUAUAUUCAUCGUAUCCCGUACGAUCGCAUCACUCACCUGGUCGUCUUUGGCGACGUCAAAAUUAUAAAGUGCAAUAUAGACGCACCAUCCCACGAUCUCGUGAGUUUUAUUAUGUGUGUUACAUCUCUGUUCCUAAAAGGAUAAUCAGUUUCUGAACGUAACACACGACGUCAUUCGUCAUGCGCGACCCACCUGAGGUGUCGGGAGUAAAAGAAACUAUUUAUUAAUCAGAAAACACGUGUUUAAUAGAUGAAGACCAGAUUACGACUAGUAUUUUCUUAGAUCACUACACUACACCUUACCUACACCCAAAUAAAAUUAAAAAAAAAAUGAUUAUAAUUUUUUUAUUA